CAAAAUCCUCCUUCUUCUCAAGUUGACACAAGUUGGGAGGCGGUCAAUGAGUAACCUCCAUGCUGUCAAGAUGGUUUUGUGUGGUGUCUUUGCUUUCCACACCGAAUGCAGCAACUUGAAAUCCACAUUGUGAUUCGGCAGUUCAUUGUGGCUUGCUUUAAUGACGUGAUAUGCCGAGUUUGUAGAAUAUCUGCCAUCUGUUGAGGCCAACCAAAUCCAAUGGUCAUCGCUACCUGCAGUAAAGCAACAUUGAGCAAGAAAGUUAGAGAACAACUCAACAGCCUCCCUCUCACUUUCCCUAAGCUCCCUUCGCCAUUUGAACUCCCACACCCAUUCUCCGUUAUCCCAUUUCCCCCAUUCACCAACCAGCUCCUCCUUGUUAGCCGCCAACCGGAACAGCCUAGGAAAAGCAAUUCUAAGAGGACUCGACCCCACCCACUUGUGUUCCCAAAACUUAGUCGAAAGCCCGUUCCCAAUUUUCCUAAUGAUAUUGUCGACAAACCAUCUACCAUGUCCACUACUCGCCCAGCAGCAACAACUUUUGCCCACCAGCCCCCACGGUUAUAGCUAGAUCCCCUAAGCCUAAAACCAUGUUCAUCCCACUCAAUGUCACCAUACAACGACCUGACCACUCUAGCCCACAGAGCAUCCUUGCCCUCCCAGAAUCUCCAGACCCAUUUCGUGACCAAAGCGGGUUGAGCCACUCAUAUUUCUCAAACCAACCCCUUCUUUUUUAUCACAACAGAGAUCAUUCCACUUGACCCAUGGAAUAGAGCAAGGACUCACACCACCCCCCCACAGAAAUUGCAAAACGAAUUCAAGGAUUUGACAAUAGCUUUGGAAUAAAGGAGAAGAGAGUUGAUAGACCGGUAUGGCUUGCAAGAUAGCUUUAACCAAGGUAAUUCUGCCGCCAUAGCCAAUUUCAAGUGAUUCCAUCCUUCAAUGCGCUUCUUGACUUUCUCGACGGUAGUUCCAAUUUGCAAUGCUUUUGAUUUUUCCUCCAAUUUUGAUGCCCAGGAACUUAAACGGCAGAUUGCCCGUGGACAAUGCAGAACAUCUGCAUUCUCUCCACCUUGUUGUCCUCAACACUCACUCCCACAAAGCUUUCUGAAAAUUCACUUUAACCCCGAGAUCAUUCGAAGAUUUCAAAGUAUGUUUAAUAGCCUCUGCAUUUUCCUCGCGAUCUGACAACAAAGAUGGUUGUCGGCAUAUUGCAGAUGAGAUAAUUCCACUUUUUCUUUUCGACAUGGCGGUUGGUGAGCUUUCGCAACAGCACGAUCAACAAGUGAAUGUAAACCUUCAGGGCAAUGAGGAACAGAAAAGGGAGACGAGGGUCCCCCUGUCGGAGCCCUCUUUCCAGCCAAAAUCACUUGAAGGGGACCCUAAUAAGGACAUUUGCAGACGCCGAGGAUAAGCAUCCUUUGAUCCACUGCUCCACUUUGCAUCGAAAUUAAUGCUCAAGCAUGGUAUCCAGGAAGUCCCAUUCGACCGAAUCAUAUGCUUUAGCAAAGUCAAUUUUGAAGAACAUCCUCCCUUUCUCAAUCUCUUAGCUUUUCGAUUGCCUCAUUCAGAAUGAUAACACCAUCCAAGAUGUAGCGCCCACUCACGAAAGCACUCUGGUUUUCUGAAAUAAUUGAACUCAAACUGUCCUCAUUCUGCAAGCAAGGGUCUUAGCAAUCACCUUGUACAAACUACAAUAAGAGAGAUAGGUCGAUAGUCCUCCAGAGAAAGGCAUUCCUCUUUCUUUGGUAUCAGCACAAUGUAAGAAGAGUUGCGUUCCCCUGGGAAUCUUUCGUUGGCGUGAAAUUCAUGAAUAAGACGCAUAAAGUCCUCUUUAAUCACAUCCCACGAGAACUUCCAAAACUGAGAUUAAAUCCAUCCGGGCCCGGGCUUUUAUUACCUUCGCAGCUCCACACUGCUUCCUUAAUCUCUUCCUCGUAAAGGCCUGACCAUGUUCAUUUUAUCUUCAGAAGAUAACUUUCUUUUGGCGAAAUCUGAAUGUAGCACAGGCAUUUUCCUCCUUCCUUUCUUAAAAAAUUCUUAAAACUAGUUGCUGUGGCCUUCACAAUUGUUGGAUCAUCCACCCAUCUGUUCUCAUCAACAGCCCGUGAAUCUCAUUCUUUUUCCUUCGACUGACAAUGGCUUUGUGGUAGAAUUUAGUAUUCAAGUCCCUUCUUUGUACCCAUCGAGAUUUCCCUUCUGCUCAAGAAGAUCAUUCCUGUUCUUAGAGUGAAGAAAAACAUUGCUUUUGCUUCGUUCCUCCUGCACACCUCUUGCUCAUUAAGGCCGCGAGUCUCAUCAACCAUCCAACCGCUGAAGUUCUGCUUUCCAAAUUUAAUCAGGAAUCAGAUUACCAAAGAAUCUCUUUCCAAACCUUCAGAGCUGAUUUCAAGCUUUCAGUUUCUCUUUGAAAUGAAACACCCCAUCUGUGAUUUCGUUUCAUUCCACACCUUGGACAAGAGAGAAUUCGGAUGCGACACCAAGCUUAAUGAACGAAACGUUUUGGUCCCCAUCAUAGAUUUUGUAAAAAAUGAUAGGGCAGUGUCAGAGAUUGAUCUUGAAACACGCUAUGCGACGAGGCCACGUGUUGACCAUAUCAUUAACCAGAUUCUAUCAGUUUCUCUUCAUCCACCGUUAGCCUGAUACCAGUAAACUUCUUCUUGUUUGAUUCAUCAGCGCUCACGAUGAAGGAUCGAACUGCCUCAUUUCUGUAUCCCAUAGUUGCGCCGCAACCAACCCUUUCUCCCGAAUUUCUCACGCUUGAAAUCCCGAGGAUGCACAAACAAAUAUCCUUGUCUGAUUGACAAUGAGCUUCAAACUAUCCCAAAGAUGCCUUGCAGCUGGAUCACAAGGUCCGUAAACGUUGAUAAAGCAUAAACUUUCUGCUUUGAUUUUCUCUCCCAUUGAUGAUAACCGCACCCGGUAAAUCCCACUUACUUGACAAAGAGAAAACUUCCUUAUUCCAAGCGCUCAGAAUCCCUCCCGAUCUACCCUCAGAGUUUCUAACUGCAGUUUCCAGAUAAUUCCUUCCCCACCAGGAAAAACCAACACUUUCAUCCCAACAAUUCAUCUUAGUCUCUUGAAUAAAACAAAAAUCAACUUUAUGAUUUCCGAUGAUUUCUUUGACCUCCCACCUAAUGGUGGGGGUGACUUCACCGAUUCAACUACAUAAGAUGAAACGCUGCCGAAUUCAUCACUCAGCAUUCAAAGCUAUUCCAAAGUUUGAAUCGAAGAAGAGAAUCACAAAGCCAAAAAUCAGUCACUGCUGAUUACAUACAUUCUCUUAAAACUUAGGCAAAUAUUGUAUAUCCAAAGCCUAGGUAUAACUGAUUACAGAGGACCUGUUAUUUGUAAUCUAGUUGGCAAGUUUUUGAACCUCUUUUCAACCGACCGAAUUGAGAGUUUGAGUUGUAAGAAGUUCAGACCAGUGUUCUGACUCCGAGAGAUCUUAGUCUUUGCGGAAAGGCAUAGUUUUAUCUCGGUGAAGCUAAGAGUGAGAAAUUCAACCAGGUGUGUUGGUACUGAAGAUAGGAUCUAAGAGUGAGAUAGGACAGCAGUGGCGCCUUUCGCUGGAAUGCCGGAGCAAUACCGGCGGUGGUUACCGCCGUUGAUUAGCCGCGGCAUUUUGCCGCCGGUAAUUUUUUUAUUUUUAUUUUAUUUUAUUUAUUUAUACCCACAAUUUAUUUCCGUAUUUAUACAGUAUUGAAUAAGUUAGACGAACUUCCCAGUCGGUCAUCCAUCUUACUUGUGCUCUAAGUCAAGCACGCUUAACCUUGAAGUUCCUUUCGAGUAGUCACCAGUACAGAACACUCGUAUUAUCGAUAUAUCUAGUACCUAUUAAUUCAUUUAAAGUCUACUUCAAUAUACAAGUAUCAUAUAUUCAUAACCUUAGAAUAUAUCGAGAUGAUAUCCAAGAAAUGUUGUUAAUUACAGAUUGGUCUCGGUUCCGUCCUUAUUUUUAUGUCGAAAAAAAUAUUUAUUUAUUAAUUUAUUAUUAAUAUUUUUUUAUCAAUCUAGUUUAUACACCAUAACUAUUUUAAUUUGGUAAUUGUAAUGUAUUUUGAAUUUAUUUCCCUACGUUCUUAUUUUUAUGUCGAAAAAACAUUUAUUUAUUAAUUUAUUAUUAAUAUUUUUUUAUCAAUCUAGUUUAUACUCCAUAAGUAUUUUAAUUUGAUAAUUGUAAUGUAUUUUGAAUUUAUUUCCAUACGUCCAUAUUUUUAUGUCGAAAAAAUAUUUACUUAUUAAUUUGUUACGAGGUAAGUGCAAUGUUAUAUGAAAACAUGAAAUAAAUAGUUCAAAAAAACAUAAAUAUAAAAAGAAAGUGCAAGUGUAAUUUUGUUCCAAAACAUGAAUUAAAUACUUCAACCAAAUUAAAAUUAAUCAUACUUCAUAAUUAAUCAUACUAUAAAUUAAUUAAAAUUAAUAUAAUUAACAUUAAUUUUAAUCUAACAAGAUAAUAGUAAAUAAAUAAAAUGGCGAGAACGAGAGCGUACGAUGGUGGUCGGCGGCGGAGCGACGUGAAGGCAGCGGCAUCGUCGAAUUGAAACGAGAAAGAGAGAGAACGAGUGAGAUGUGAAUUAAAGAGAGAGAGAGAGAGAGUACCUGGGCGGUGGCUGGCCGGCGGCGGCUCACGAUGGGGGACGGCGGUUCGCGACUAGGGGUUGGGGGGAGGCUGGGCUGGGGGCUUGGGGGUGUUUGCUCGGCGGGUGAGAUGCAGAUGGGGAAGAAGGCCCUAAUUUUAUUACAAUUAUCGGUGGCGCCGCCAGUAAUAAAUAUAAUUACUUAAUUUAUUUAAUUUACUAUAAUACCGUCGGCACAACCGCCGGUGAUCUCCGGCGGCGAGGCUGCCAGGCGGUAAUGCCGCCGGUACUUUGAAAAAGGCGGGUCGCCUCAAAUGUCGUUAGUCGGCCACGGGUAAUUUUCGCCGGUAUUUUGGCAUUUUUUUGUAGUGUUAUAAGUUGUAAAAUUAAAUGUUCUUUUAUAAGUUGUAAAAUUAAGCUCUAAGAGCUUAUAAGCUCCCUAAAAAAUAAGUUCCUCUACCCCAACUUAUUUUCUCAUUUUCUUAUAAGAAACAUUCAUUUUACAAAAACAACUCAAUUAUGAUUUUUUAUUUUCAUCAUAUAUCAUUCUAAUUUUUUUUAUUUUCUCUCUCUAGUAAAGAUUGUCUCCCACUAACUAAAAAUUAUCUCUCUAGCUUAUAAACUCAAUUACCCAAAUAAAAGCUUACAAGCUCUUUAAAAUAAACUUAGCCAAACAUCCUCUAAGACGAUUAGAUGGAUCUUGAUCUUUCAGAUUUAAUCUUGAUCAUUUGAAAAUAUUUGAACUUGAAUCUGAACCCAAUUAAUGAAUUCAGAUUUAAUCUUGAUCAUUUGAAAAUAUUUAAUCUAACCCAUCAAAUGAUCUUAUAUAGCAAGAAUAUCUUUAUGCCCAAUUCUCAAUACAUACUACCUCCAUCGCCGAAUAAGUGUGUAUUCAAUUUGAAAAUAAAUUAUGAGUAAAAAAUUAAAAUACACAUUUUUAUUAAAUUAUAAUGAAAAUGUCCACUAUAAAAUUAUUGUGUUUAUACCAAAGGAACUAAAUUACUUUUUACAUCUCAAUCAAGGUAAUUACAAGGCAAAAAUAAUUUGUUGUUGAAAAAGUAGGUCGCCAUCUAAUUGUACUUGCAGGACAAAAAUAGUUUGUUGUCAAAAAAGUAGGUCGCCUCCCGGACAGCAAUCUACUUAGUGAAGUUAUCGCCGGGCUUUUUCGACAGCAGACUAUUUUUUUUACACAUUUGUACUUGUGUCAAAAAAUUGUACUAAGACUUUGCACAAAAAAUGAUGCAAAUCCAUCAACACACAAGGACAAUUUCGACUCUUCACUUUAAUUUGGGAAUAUGAUCAAGUUUUUUUUAUAUAUAUAUAAAUUGGACAUUUUUAAUUAGAAGUUAUAAAUAUAAGCAUUUCUACCCAUUAAUACAUAAAUUAUCAUUUUUAUCCAUGCAGUAAUCCAAAUACUUCAAUAUAUUCUCUUAUUUUUAUCAUAAUUAUUAAAGAUAAAAAGAUAAAAAAAUGUUGAAAAAUAUUUUUCAUCUCUACCUUAAGAUAAUAUUAUUCAAUAUUAAAGAAAAAAAGUAAAAAAGAGUUACUCGAGAAAAUAUUUUACUAUAUUCUAAAAAAAAUUAUUAUCAUAAUAAACAUAUAAAAAUAAUAAAAAAUAAAUAAAAAUAUGCUUUUUCUCAUAAUAAACUCACCUAAGAAUUAUAAAAAAACUAAUCUUGAAAUUGAUUUUAUCCUAUCUAGUUGUUUUUGCGAAGCAUGAGUACAACCUACAUGCAAUUCGCAGUGUGAAGUAUAAACCUCCUUUCCCACAAAGGUGAAAUACUUUUGAGGCACAAGGUACAACCCCCACUGCAGGAAUCUCUUUUUCUCUCUCAGUCUUUACAUUGGGGUCCACAUCCCAGGGCGCGCGUGCAUCUAUGGGGAUCACCAGCUGGAUCUAACGGUCAAGAUGGGGCGUUGGCUUCGCGAUUUACGAGGAUGUUGGAACUUAAACUCGCCGCAAUUGCAGCGGAUUACUACUCUCUAUUCGUUACGCUCCGAUUUUGUUUUCCCAUUUGCUAAUUUCCAACGCCGUUGACCACCGCCCACGUGUCGUGCAUGCAUUGGCUGGCGCCCAUCCUAAUGCUCGAGAGUCAGUGGUCUCGACCCCGUCUCACGACAUUUGUCUUCUAUCCUUUUUGAAGUUUUCAUUAUUUUUUAAUUUAAUUUGUUCUUAUUAUUAUUUUUAUUAAAAUAAUUUUAUACAAUAGUGAAAAUAAAACAUUGAGCAAUAAAUAACGAUAAAAAUAGAAAGAUUGCAUAUAAUUACUCCCUCCGUCCCACUUCAAAUGUCUCACUUCCCAUAAUGGAACGUCCCACUUCAAAUGUCUCAUACUUUUUUUGGCAAUCCACUCUCUCUAUAUAUUUAAUAUUUAAACAAUUUCCACCAACACACUUUAUCUACUUUAUACCCACUUUAUUUACUUUACACACAUUUCAUAAUCUCCGUGCCCAAAAGAAAUGAGACAUUUGGAACGGGACGGAGGGAGUAUAUUUUUUCAAAAGAUACUCCUUCCGUCCAUGAAAUAACUUCAUAGGAGGGACAAACACAAGUUUAAAAAAAAAUAUUAUUGAGUGUAUUGAGAGUGGAUAAAAGGUAAUUGACUGUAUUGGGAGUGGUGAAAAGAUGUUAUAAUUAAUAUUGAGAGUUGUGAAAAAUAAAAAGUAAGAGUAAUUAUAAGUGGUGAGAUAUAGUCCAAAAAUAGAUAGGAAGUUUUUUUAUGGACGUCCCAUAAAGGAAAGAUAUGAAGUUCUUUCAUGGACGGAGGGAGUAUUAAUUAUAUUAUUUUCUUAAAUAUAUAUUUUGAUGGAACGAAGAAAAUACGUAACAUGUUUUCCCUGCGUCCCAUUGAUCUUGUCUUGUUUUCCCUUUUGGGUUGUCCUGAUCAUAUUGUCUUGUAUCUAUAUUUGGUAAUAAUUUUACACUACAAAUAAUAUGGCCCUCCACAUUUACACACUUUUACUACAUUAAUUAUACUCUUCUUAAUAACCGUGCCCAAAAGAAAUGGGACGGAGGGAGUAUAUGAUUAGGAUUAGCAUUUCAAUUGUUAUUUUGUUCUGAAUCGAAAUUUUUGUUUUGCUAAGAUUUUGAAAGUGUUGCUUCGUAUGGAUCAGAUGUUGUGCACCACAGAGAGUAAAAACAACGAAAAAAUAUAGAAGACUCAAAGAAUGUCUAUCCUUAUUCACCCUUUAGAGAUGGUUCAAGCGAAGGAUAAAAAGAUUGUCAUCCUUUUUCCCUAUGAGAAGGACCGACUCUUCAUGGUAAUAGAUGAGCACAAAUUAAAUAUUGAUGCUCCUUUACGGCUCACUCGUUUUUUAUUCACCUUUGGAUUGCCUGACAAAUUUCAAGUAAUAGUUUCUCACAAACUUCAGAUCAGGCAGAUCCAAUAUCAACUUUUCAUGAUCCGAUCACUUAUAUUCUCCCUGAUAACACUCAUGUUUCCAUGGUUUUUAGUGUUCAUAUGAUGUCAAUUUUAUAAGAAAUUGAGUGUUGGAUAGUUGUUUUGUGCUUAUAUUGCUCUAUCUUGUGAAAUAUGAUACUUGCUCAAACAUUGAUGGAAUUUACAGGAAUAUUGAAUCCGAAUUUGGAAACACGGUUUGAAAUAGAAGUUGUAGUUCAUCUCGAUACGAGUUUGUGAGCGCAAACGAAUCACAAAUCGGAGUUCGAACGAGGAAGAUAUGACCGAAACAAGAAAUUUGCGCGCAAAAGUGCGACCAUCCGACGAGCGCCGGCUGAAGAACAAGUUUAGCGCCGGCCGGACCGCCAGAAACUUGGCGACUGCUGCGAUCGCUGGGAAGGUCGCGGGAAAAGGCAGAUUUUGUCCAGGAGCGCGGCAAUCGUCGGAGAGGCAGUCGCGUGUUCGAAAAUUCAUUUUUAAGCGUUUUUUCAAUAUUUUUUGGGCUUUAAACUGUAUUUUUUCCAUGUGCCUAUUUACAAGUCAUUUUCCUGACCUAUUAGACACUUCUUUUACCUCUCUUCACCUCUUUUCUCCCUUUUUUCUUAUAUUUUCAGUUUUACAUUUAGAAUUUCAUAGCUUAGGUUUAUUUUCCUACAAGAAUUCAAGCUGUCAUUCAACUUUCAUUCCGGGUUUUAUAGAAUUCAGUUUUUAUUAUUGUUUCCUUUUUCAUUAUGUUUAUGUUUUAUUUAAGAGUAAUGCUAUUUGGCCAUAAUAUGGCUGGCCAUAAUAGCUUUAAACUCAAUGCAUUUAUAAACUCAAUGCAUUAAAUACAUGAGGGGAGGGCAUUAAAUACAUGAGAGGAGGGCAUUUUUACCCUAUUAUGGCCGGCCAUAAUAUGGCCAAACAGCUUUUCCCUUUAUUUAAUUAUGCUUGGCUAGUUUCUUUAUUUGAACCUAGGGUUUCUACAUAGUUGAUUGAAUAUAUGUGUUUGAUUUAUUGAUAUCAAUUUGCCCUCCUGCUUGUGAUUUAUGAUUCAUGGUGCUUGAUUUCUUGUGAAUUAUCUGGCCAAUAGUUUGCAUGUCUAGCUGUUCAAUUUAAGUAUUGAAUGUGAUAAUUGUUCAGCCGAUUCAGGAAUGCAUUAUAUAGUUUUGCCUUGAGUCUUGAAUGUGAUAUGUGGACUAUAUGAAGCUAUUCUUUGUAUGCUAUGUGGAGUUAAUUUGUUCCUUUGAGUCUUGAAUGUGAUAAGGGGUAUAUUAAUAUACUUUCAUAGUUGUUCGUUAGAGAAGAUUAUGAACAGUGUAGUGAUAUUUCAUCAGGGCUGGAUUAAAAUUGAUAAUUGAAUCAAUAGGUUGAAUGCAUGUGUUUGAUUAACAACAGUACAUUCCCUAAGGUCAGAGUCUUUUACAUUUGAUUUAUCUACCUGAUUUUUAUUUGCUCUACUUUGCAUUAUUGAUUUUAGUUUUAAUUGUUCAUCAUCUUGGUGUUUUGCCUGAAUAUUGUUAGAGUUCUUAUUAGGAUUAUUUAGAGUGAUUUUCAUUUAUCAGUCAUUGUGGAUACGAUACCCGAGUUGCUAUUUAUUGCUACAAUUAUACUGUUAUAGUUUCAGUUUUGUUGCUAAUAUAUUAGUGAUCACUCUCAAUCAACAUCUCACAGCUCCCAUUGAGCUGAUUGCUUUUUCUUCAAUACCCUAUCCACUUUUCCGAUUGAGGUUUCUUCUCUUAUUCUUUUAGCUCACACUGAGCUGGUAUUCAUACAUUUCCCAAUCGAUACUUCACACAUUAAUUGACAAAUCCUCUCCCCUUCGAUUAAUUCCCAAUAAGCUGGUAGAUUCUUCUUUUCUGUCCCUAUCAGUUUCUCAUACACUAAUGGACAUAUCUUCUUUUUUUCAACCAGUUCCCACUAAAUUGAUUGCUUCUAUUUCUUAUGGGUCAAAUCACGGUAUUGAUGAAGAAUCUCUUUCAUCUCCUAAGAUUCAAGAAAUGCCUUUAUUUUUAUCCCCGCCUCUAAUCGGCAACCCAACAACUUCCAAUCUUAUUGAUAAUGUGACAGGCUUACCUGAUCUUACCCUCACUGAACUGGACAUUAGUUUCUUUCAUUAUUCAACUAAACCACCACUGUCUAUACAUCAUGGUCAGACUAAGCCCAGAGCAAAUGUUGAAAUCCAAGCAUUGACUGAUUCAGUCACCACACUCCAACACCAACUAGAAUCAGCAGAACGACACAUUUAUCAAUUGGAACCUUCUCAAGCCUCUACCUCAGCUCUAUCUCAACAUCUCCCUCAAACUCAACCUAUUUUCCAGUUUCAAUCCAUCCUAAUCCUUCCUCAUGGAAAUGCUUUUGUUGCUUCCAAAAAGGAAGAAGAUAGGAAAUAUAGGAAAGAUAAUAAAGUUAAGGAAUACAAGGAAAAUGAUACACUCUCUGUCCAUAAAAAAAUGUGCCUAGUUUAAAAUGACACAGGUUUUAAUAAAAUGGUUAAGUAUGUUGUGAGUGGAAUAGGUCCCACAUUAUUAUGAGUGAAAAAUUUACUAAUAAUAGAAUGGGUACAUUUAGUGUGGACGGACGAAAAUGGUAAACUGAGUACUUUUUUUGUGGACGGAGAGAGGAUAAAUGAAAGCUUACCAGAUACAUCUUAGGAAGAAGAUAAUCAGAAAGAACAGAAGAAAUCUUGAUGUUGCCGCUGAACUAAUCUAGCUCAUGCUGCUGCUGAUUUGCAUGUUAUUGAUGCUGAUCAAUGUGAACCUGUUGCUGCUACCGCUUAACUCCCUGCUACUAAAGAUAAAAUUACAUUUUUGAAGUAGAAAAAACGACAAGGAAGACCACCGAGCAAGAUAAGUCCACUGACAAGGACUUAUGGAUUUAUGAAGAAUCAUGGGAUGCAUGGUGACGUAUCAAGAGAGACUCCAUCGAGUAUUACUUCAAUAACUUUUCUCAGGAAUAUAUUGAUGAAGAGUUCAAACUCUUCGUGAAGAAACACUUCGAUACAGCCACUACCCAGAAGAUUCUCAAACAUGUUCACAAUGUUAACCUGAAGGCUCAUCCCAAACUGAUGUUCUUACCACCGAUCAUACAAAUAGCGUUGACAGAACAAAGAUUGAAGCUCUUGCUAUUUCUAUUGGUAUCCUGUCGAAGAUAGAUCCUACUAUUGAAUCUAAUCAGUAUACCCAACCCUCAUAAAGGAUUUUCAGCAUGUAUAGACAAUUGACGAAUGAACAUUUGAAUGCCAAGAGAAGAGCCGAUCCAAGUAGCAAGAAGAAAGAACACUUGAAGUUAUAAUAGAAUGUAUAGGGAUGCUGAUAUCUCAGAAUCACUCUUUGUAUCUCUUUAAUGCCCUUAAUAAUACAGUCUUUCUUUUAUCAAAGUAGCCUAAUGACAAUUGCUCUUCGUCUAGGCUCUGGCUUUCUUUUCUUUAUUCUUUUUGUUGCUUUCUCGUUUUCUAAUUAGCUUAGAUUUUGUGUUUUAGCUUUAGAUGUCAGAUAAGAUAGGUUUUGGCAUCAUAAAAAAUGAAUAAAUUAUUGGGGAAAUUGCAUAUUUUGAUUAAUACCAAAACCCCUUGAAAUGAUAGUUCAACAUUGCAAUUAGUUUUCAACCUAUCUGUUAGGAAACCGAGUUUUCUUUUUACAGUACUAAGUCAAGGAGAAACUCAAGACAAAGUAUCAACUGAAGAUCACAAAGAAUGGAAGUUGUACUGGACAUAGCUAGAGACCUAUGGAUUUGUUUAAGGUUAACUGACUGAUCGAUUGACUUGCAGCCAUAAAACAAGGAAUCCAAAGGUUAACUGGAUUCUUUUGUUCAAUUAGAAUAGUGGAUGUAGGAGCAGUUUAUUCUGAACCACGUUGAAUCAUCUGAAAGUCAGCAGUUGUACUGACUUACUUGUUCUUUCAUUUUCAAGUAAAACAAAAAGUUGUUAUUUGGUGUAUUCCCUUCAUAGACCAACAUAUACUCACUUGGAACCUACACUUCAAUUGUAUAAGCAUGAUUAAGAAUCCAAAAAUAGUAUAAUCAAUUUUUUUUGCUCAUUUCACAUUUUCGAAGAAAAUUAUUUUAAUAUAUAUUAUAUAUACGACAAAGUUGUUGUGGGAAAAUGCGAGGGAUAAGGAUGGAAAAUUAAAGAAUGACAUUUGCAAAAAUCUCAAAAAUAAGAAUUGUAAUCCUACCAUCACAUAAGUUUUUUAAAUUUGCAUUGCAAGUAAAAGUUUUUGUAUUAUUAAACUACAUUUCAUAUGAUUUAGAGUGAAACAUAUUCUUAUUACCAUAGUCAUCCUUGUGGUGAUAGUUUGAUUGAAUAUAAUUUAGAAUUAUAAUACUUUUUAUUUAAAAAUUUAAAUGGGUCCAAACAAUUAAUAAAGUUUAGGACAUGCACUAAUACAUAUAUUUUAGACAUCUAAAUGGCUAAAUCCUAAUCUUGUGUGCUCUGCUAGCCAAAUAUAAAGCAAUUUUACACUCCAUCCGUCCCACAAAAAUAUGUGAUACUUUUGAUGGGACGGGUUUUAAGAAAUAUUAAGUUAGUGGAGAAGAGUCAAAUUUUGUUAUGAGUGGAGUGGUGGCUCAUGGGUAAUUUUUUUGUGAAUUAAUUGAGAAAAUAUGGAUGAAAAAAUGUAAGAGAUUUGUGAUGAGGUGGUAUCUAAAAGUGGAAAGUGAAUAUUUUUGUUGGACAUAUCAAAAUGAUAAAUUAUUAUAUUUUUAUAGAAUGAAAAAAGUAUACUUUUACUUAUAAACUUAAACGCAAAGUGAUUAUCUAUUGAAACUGGACAUCAUGCAAUUUAUAUUCAUGAGUAUCUAGUACGAUUUGCCUUAAAAAAUAGAAUUAGAUUUAAAAAGGAGAGCGCUUUUGAGAUAACCAUUUUGAAAAAGGAAACAUACUAUUUGGCCACUAAUUGAAAAAACACUAAAUCUGACCAUUUAUUACGUGUAAAGACUAUUUUGCCCUUAAUUAGGACGGAUCAGAUUCGGGUCGGAUUCGAGUUUGCACGCGGGUUAGGCACAUAUGACACUAUUAGUGCCAUAUGUGCCAACCGAAAAAAAAAAAUCUGAGUAUAUGACACUAAUGGCAUUAAUAUGGCCAUAAGUAUCAUUCGUGCAACACUACAUAAGAGAGUAUAUGGCACUAAUGGUACUAAUAUGGCCAUAAGUACCAUUUGUGCAGCACCUUAAAUGAAGAAUGUAAACCCUAAUGGAUAAUCUAAACCCUAAAUGAUAAUCUAUACCCUAAAUGAAUAAUCUAAACCCUACGGGGAAGUGUUCAAAAUGGUCAUAUAACUGUACCCAUUAAAUAAUAUCAGGCACACAGUAUAUGGCACUAAUGACACUAAUAUGACCAUAAGUAUCAUUGUAUGCACUAAUGACACUAAUAUGGCCAUAAGUAUCCAUUCGUGCAGCACUGAGUAUAUGGCACUAAUGGCAUAAUAAUGUCAAGUGUGCCUAACUCGCGCAAAUCCGAAUCCGACAUGAAUCGAAUCCGUCCUAAUUAAGAGUAAAACAGUUUUAAAACGUAAAAAUUAGUCAAAUUUUGUAUUUUUUUAAUUAGUGGUCAAAUAUUGUGUUUUCUUCUUUAAUAUAGCCGUGCAAGUAUUAUUGUUUCUUUUACAAAAAUUGUUACUUAAAGCGUAUUUUUCUUUAAAAAUUUGGCGGAUACACGCUAAUCUGUAUAUAUAGAAGGAAAAAUAGGUACAUUUGUAUAUGAAAACUUGUGCAUAUCGAAACGUCAAAUUUUAUAUGAGUUGUCAUCGUUGGACUAAUUACUUUUCGAAAUUGAUUAUAUAAUUAUGUAUAAACAUAAUAAAACAAGGUGAAGAAACAAGAGAGGAACACACCUGCCUUUAAUAAAUUAUCAUCUUGUUGAAAGAGUAUUAAAUAUGAUACGUGUCUUUUCGAAAUUUGUAUGUCUAAUUCUGACUCAUGUAAAUGUCAGUUCCAAGUCAACAUUCGUUGUAUGAAUUUUGUAAGAUCUUAAUUUACUCCUUUAUCGAGUAAUUUUUAAUGUUCUAGUGAAAUAAACUUCUUUAUGUACACUGCGUUUUAAUUGGAAGUUCACUUUGCACAACAUAAGAACUAAGAGCACCUGCAACGCAGCUACUCGAGCGCCUCCUCGAGUAGUGCGUUGCACUCGGGUAAACCGUUGCGGGGGGAGGUACUCGAGUAAUACUCGAGUCUUCGAGUAUGCUCGAAGGGCUCCCUAAUUAAAAAAAAGGAAAAAUUGAUAAAUUCAAAUUUAAAUUACGAAUUUUGACUGCAAUUCCUCGAUUUGCGCACUUUGACCGACCGUUUCUAUUUUUUUUUCUUCUUCUUCCCCUCUUUAAAAAACCCCAACUUCUCCCCACCAUCUUCACACCUCUUAUUCUCAAAUUUUCUUCUCCAUUUUCUCCUCCAUUUCUCUUCAAGAAUUUUCUCCGUCAUGGAUCCACACAACCCUUUCUAUGAUCCAAAUUGGUGCCCCGAUCUCUCCUCCGAUUAUCAUCCCGAUAUGAGAGGAAUCAACUUGGAGGAGAUCCCGCCCGAGGAGGAACCGGUCAGUGCACAUGACGGAGGCACAAAGGGCAUUGCACGCGUCCAUGGUCGCCGACGUGCUCAGGUCGUCGUGGUCUAGACUAGGACGUAAUAUGUAUGUUUUAGGUGUUUUAAUUUUAUGUAAUUUUUUUUAUGUUUUAGGUGUUUUUAAUUUUUAUGUAAUUUUUUUUAUGUUUUAGGUGUUUUAAAUUUUAUGUAAUUUUUUUUAUGUUUUAGGUGAAUUUAAAUUUUAUGUUUAAUGGCGUAUUUAACUAACAAAAAUAUGUUAUUUAAAUUAUGCAAUUAAAUUUAAAGGAAAAACAUAAAAAUCAAAACUAAUGUUAUCAAGUAGGCUAUCAAUGAACCCCAAUGCAGCACUACCUACUCAAUAACACAACCACUAUCAAGUAGGCUAUCAAGGAACCCCAUUGCGGAUGCUCUAAGAGUGCAUUUGUUCACCUCUGAAGAAAAAUAAGAAAAAUGACUAAUGAAACCUAUAUAAAAAAUAAUUGAUCGUUCCUCAAAGUUAUUUCCAUAUGUUCUUUUUAAUAGAUGAAAUAGUUUCAUAUAUUUUCUAUUCAUUAAUUCACAAAGUUUGACUUUGAUUUAGUGUGCCAUUUUCUUAGUAUAUUUAUCUAACUUUGUAUUGAAGUAUAAGUGUCAAGUGUGGCAUAUAUAUUGAGUGAAAGGGUUAAAUAGAGAAUGACAAAUAUGUAGAGAAUAGAGAAUGAAUCUAGAGCCUUUAUUUUGAUUCAUCCAAGGGCUGAAAUAAUUAAGGAAUUGUUUAUGCAUUUUAAUUCGAAAAGGUAAAAAAUGUAAUCAUACAUUAAUUAUAACCGAUUUUUUCUACAAUUGAAUGAGAUUUAGCCGAUUAUAUAUUUGGUAAGAUUUAGUAGAUCCCUAAAAUAUAGUUCGUUAUCCAACAAAUACGACCCACUUCUUAUUUUUCCUUUAUUUUGUUUAUUUGUUAUACUUAGUUACUAUUGAAGUUUUGUUUAAGUCAACUAUUUAGUUUAUCUUAUUUAUUUUUUGCUAAAAUUAGUUAUUGAAGUUUUAAUUAAAAUUACGUCAACAAUAUAAUUGCUUAAAAUAACUAAUUAAAGAUACAUAAAAGUUCAAAUGUAAAAUAUUUUCAGUACUUAUCUAUACAAUACUUUUAUUUAUAUGUUCAUAAUUUUUUAGACCUGUUCAAAAAGGUCAGAUGUAAAAUAUUUUAUAUAAGUCAAACAAAUUCGAAUAUUUCUAUUUAGAUAUUCGUAAUUUUAUUAUGUGUGUUCGAGAUGGCUUGUGCUAAGUAUUUUAUGUCACCAAGAAAAAUUCAAAUAUUUUAUCUUGUUGUUCGUAAUUUUAUUAUGUUUGUUCAAAAAUCCAGAGCGCAACAUCAGGAACCAAAAUUUGAUCAAACAUACAAAGAUUUCUAUUUCAACCCAAAAUCAUUUCAGGAUUUUACUCUGAGAACAAAGCCAACAAGGUGAAAGAUAGGCGAGUGCAACUCAAGGCGCCACAACAAUAAUUAUGCCAGAAACUUGGUCGAGAUCCCUCCGGCCAUUGGAUGCAAUUCUUUCCAUCUCGACAAUGUUCACGUUCUGAAACUGUUGAAGGAUGCGACGAGCAACAGAACCGCUGCUCUUGCCAAAGUGAGGCGGGCGACUUUCGUUCCUCUUGCUCCCUCCGCAAUUCUCCUGAAGGAGCCAACACCAAUACCUCCCCUGAGGUAUAUCUUCCUAGCCAUGGAAGCGGCACUGAUGUAGUACCAGUCGGGAUCAUAAGGAGCAAGGUCUAUGAGGACACCAAUUUUCAUGAUGUCGGUCCACUCAUGAAGCUCCAUCUUUGCCGGACCGCUUGAGGUGCGUGGCAUAAGCUUUGACGAACUCAUAAGGAGAGGCAAAUUCCUUUUUCUUUACUCCUCUUUGUAUUUGGUUUCUUUGCUAGACACUGAUCUGUAAAUGUGUAAUGUAAAUCAAGGCCAAAGUAAUAUCAUUAUGUUCGCUAUUUUAUUUAACACGACGCAAGUGUACGGGUGCAAUUGUGUACAGUAGCAAGCAAGGUCGUAUUCCACAGAGACUAAUUAUUAUCAAUUCCUAUCCUAAAUUAUUCUACUCUAUCUGGACAAACGAAAUUAAGAGUUUUUGUUGUAAAGAACAAAAUAAGUAAACAGCAGGAAAGAAAAUAAAGCAAGCUGUGAAACAGAGAAACAGAUAAGAGAAGAUUUCCCAAGGUAAAGGUUUCAACAGAUUCUCCUAACUAACAUGUUCAAUUCAAUUAAUAAGAUGAUUCCUAAGGCAAUCUCAAAACUAGUCUAUACCCAUUCCCGUGGCAUACAAACCGUUGAUUACAUGCAAGGCUAUCGUCCCUGGAUCGCACUUCUAACAUGCAACUCCUAAAAGUUCCUAGGAUUAAUGCCCUCACAAUUAUCAAUUCCCUUUAGAAUUAAAAUAAAUAUGUUCUAUGUUCUUAGUUCAGGUAAUAAUUAUCAUCUCCUGAUCUCAAAUUAAAACCUAUGAUUAUGCUAAAUUGGUGGCCAAUCAAUAAAGCAAACAAUUGUAACAAGAACAUAAAAGGAAUAACAAUCUCAAUUAAUUGAAUCAAACAGUCAGAAUUCAAAUCAUGUUUACUCCCUAAACCCUGGGAAAAAGGGAUUCUAGCCACACAUAGACAUAUGACUAGAAAUCAAAAUCUCAAUAAAACAAAUCAAGCUGCGACAAUAGAAACAGAUAAGAGAAUCUUCAAUCUUGCUCUUGCUCCGUUCUCCGUCUCUCACAGCUCUCAGGAAAAGUAAAAUAUGAUAUAAGAUUAUAAAAGCUUGCAGAGAAUAAGUUCUUGGGAGUAUUUAUAUGCCCUAGGUCUUGUAGCUCUCAAAAAUACCCAAAAUCGCUAAAAAAAACUGAAUUUUGGGCGGAAAUACGGCGACUCGCGCGGCCACUCGCGCGGCCGCAUGGCUGGCCCGCGUGACGAAACAGAACUCCUGAUAGCUUUGCGCAGCGAUUUUGUUUUGGCUCGUUCUCCCUCGUCCGAACUCCGAUUUAUGAUCCGUUUGCGCUCACGAACUCCUAUCGAGACGAACUAUAACUUGUAUUUCAGCCAAUUCUUCCAAAUUCUGCUUCAUUAUUUCUGAAAAUUCGUUCAAACACAAGAAAGUAACAAGUUCUUGACCAUAAACGAAUAUAAGCUCAAAUAGACCAUCAAACACACAAAAUCCUCACAACUAAGCAUCAAAAAUGACACACCAAGAGGUAAAAAUGCAUGUUUAUCACAUUAGUAUAUUUCGAACAAACCUCACAACUAUUUGAACAAACUCACUAACAUAAAGAACAAACCAACAACUGUGAACAGAAAGUCCAUUUAGAAACAACAUUAGUACAUUUCGAACAGACCUCACAACUAUUUGAACAUAUUCACAAACAUAAAGAACAAACCAAGAACUGUGAAUAGAAAGUCCAUUUUUCUAAGAAAUCAAUAUCUGUAAUAUUAAGGUGAGAACAAACCAAAAACUGUGAACAGAAAGUCCAUUUAUUCUCCCUAUAUUUGUCUAAGAAAUCAAAACAGCGGUUCAGCUUAGUGAUUAAACUUAUCGGCAUCAACUUUGCAUUUAAAAAUUGCAAGCUCAAAAUAAGAAAUGGUAUUCACCUUGUGAAAAGGAAAAAUCAAAAUCUGCCCAAAUCUUGCAAGCUCAAAAUAAGAAAUGGUAUUCACCUUGUGAAAAGGAAAAAUCAAAAUCUGCACAAAUAUGGAGAUUUGGUUGAUAGAGAAGGAUAACUAAUUUUGAAUAUAAGAAUGUAAAAAAUAUAUACAUACCAUGUAUUGGCUUUUUUUGGCCUUUCAAAGACAAUAUCCAUUGCAAAUUUCGCAUAUAUUUUAGAAAUAUUUAACUUAAAAUUGCUCAAUUACGAACAAAUCAAGACAUGUUUCGAACAGGCACCCAUACCAUCUGAAGCUUUCCCAUUCCCCUUUCCAGAAGCCAUAUGACGCAAUUUUUCUAUACAGUAUAACAAAUCCAGAACUCAUAAUCAAAGGAAAAUCCUAAAAAUCAUAUUCGAUAGAACCUAAUCUAAGCCCUCAUUCUAUAUAAUGUAAUCCAUAUAACCUAAUCGAAUUUCAAAACCCAGAAACUAAGCGAAAAUCAUAUUACAUAUAACAUGAUCGGAAUCAGAAACUCAGAUUUUUGGUAUUGAUUUUCGAUUUCGUUUGAUACAUUUAAACCCUAACAAAGAAGUUUGAUUUGGAUUUCGAAAACCCAACACAAAAAUCGAUUCAAACCCCCUAAAACCCAACAAAAAUUGUUUCUUGAAGCAGCAAUCGAACAAAACUCAAAAACCCAUUGCCUUACCCGUUCGAUUUCAAACGUCCACCGCGUUGACCCCCUCGUUCACCGCGACGACGCCAUGGAAAAAGAAAAAGGUUAGUUAUUUUGCAGAGAAUGUGAGAGACGACUGAGAGGUUGAGAGAGAGAGAGAGAGAGAGAGAGAGAGGGGUUGAAGAACGUGAGGAGUGAUUUUAGGGCUUGCAGUUUUUAACCCAAAAUGUAGUUACUGUUAUACCAUUUUCUUAAUAAAAUUAUCAUUUGUUCAUUUUAAUUGGUAAUUAAAAUUGGGAUACAGAUUUAACUAUAACCGCACGAUCAAGCGGUUUUGAUGGACUAGAUUUAAUCUCUAUUCUCUAUACAUAUGAUCAUUCUUUGUUUAACUUGACCCUAUAUAUAUAUAUAUAGAGAGAGAGAGAGAGAGAAGGGUUCAACAGAGAAGCUAAAUAUUGUGGAGAAUAGAGAAUUCAUAAAAUAAAAACGAACAUAUCUAUAAUUUUAAUGAACAAAUCAAUGUACCGCAUGAACAGCAAUUUGCCCCAGGUUCGAAUCCUGUUGGUGGCAAGUUUUUCUUUAUUUUUACCAAAUACGUUUGUUCGUUAGUUAUGUUGAUCUGUUCGUAAAAUGAAUAGAUUUGUUCAUAAUGAAUAAAAAGAUAAUUCUCUAUUGAACUCAACCCUAUAUAUAUAUAUAUAUGAUGGCGCUUAAAUACCUGGAAGAAGGGGAUGUGGAAAUAGUUACAGACUUCUACUAGGAUGGCGGGAGGGGGAAGUCUUAAACCAGCCUCUACCUGGGCUCAGAAGAGGGGAAUUUUGUUCAUGUGUAGCUUGGGGAAAGGCUCGGAAGCCUUAGAAUAGGGCUCGAAUGUCAAGCCCUCAGGACACCGGCACUUCUCAAAAAGUUGCUGCAUGCCCGCAUAACCUAAUCGGGAUUCGGGGAUGGUCUUGGGCGAUUUGGGAGUGGGGGGGAAAGAUUCGAGAGAGGCCGGAGGGUCUUGGGGUGAACUAGGGGUAGAAGGAGGUGGAGAGUUAGUCGGAGAAGCUAGUGGAGAGGGAGAAGGGGAAGGGGAGAAGUCAGGCUGGGCGACGGAGGUAGAGGCCA
rnacentral:lncRNA from 1 species